rnacentral:rRNA from 1 species
AUUGGACGCUGGCGGCAUGCCUUACACAUGCAAGUCGAACGGCAGCAUGGAGAGCUUGCUCUCUGAUGGCGAGUGGCGAACGGGUGAGUAAUGCAUCGGAACGUACCGUGUAAUGGGGGAUAACGUAGCGAAAGUUACGCUAAUACCGCAUACGACCUGAGGGUGAAAGCAGGGGAUCGCAAGACCUUGCGUUAUACGAGCGGCCGAUGUCAGAUUAGCUAGUUGGUGAGGUAAAGGCUCUCCAAGGCGACGAUCUGUAGCGGGUCUGAGAGGAUGAUCCGCCACACUGGGACUGAGAGACGGCCCAGACUCCUACGGGAGGCAGCAGUGGGGAAUUUUGGACAAUGGGGGCAACCCUGAUCCAGCCAUGCCGCGUGAGUGAAGAAGGCCUUCGGGUUGUAAAGCUCUUUCGGCCGGGAAGAAAUCGCACAGGCUAAUACUCUGUGUGGAUGACGGUACCGGCAUAAGAAGCACCGGCUAACUACGUGCCAGCCGCCGCAGUAA